GAUGAACGCUGGCGGCGUGCUUAACACAUGCAAGUCGAACGAGAAGUGGAGACGGAAACCUUCGGGCGGAAGACUUUAUUUCGAGUGGCGGACGGGUGAGUAACGCGUGGGUAACCUGCCUCAUACAGGGGGAUAACAGUUGGAAACGACUGUUAAUACCGCAUAAGACUACAGCACCGCAUGGUGCGGGGGUAAAAACUCCGGUGGUAUGAGAUGGACCCGCGUUCGAUUAGCCAGUUGGCGGGGUAACGGCCCACCAAAGCGACGAUCGAUAGCCGAUCUGAGAGGAUGACCGGCCACAUUGGGACUGAGACACGGCCCAAACUCCUACGGGAGGCAGCAGUGGGGAAUAUUGCACAAUGGGGGAAACCCUGAUGCAGCGACGCCGCGUGAGUGAAGAAGUAUUUCGGUAUGUAAAGCUCUAUCAGCAGGGAAGAAAAUGACGGUACCUGAGUAAGAAGCCCCGGCUAACUACGUG
rnacentral:rRNA from 1 species